rnacentral:lncRNA from 1 species
AUGCCUAGGGCGAGGAAGUCGACUCCAUGCCUCAAGACUGCCUCCACCAAAACAGAAAGAAUGGUGAUUGUUGUAGGCAACUCUCUUCUCAGGGGAACAGAAGGUCCUAUUUGUCGGCCUCACCCUACCCGUACAGAAGUCUGCUGCCUCCCUGGGGCCAGGGUCAGAGACAUUGCCAGAAAGCUUCCCUUUCUGGCACUGUCCUGGUUUCAGUGCAUCGGUCAGCGAGUGGUGAGCAAUUGCAUUGUGCAUCACUUGUUUGUACAUACUAUUAUUACUUUCCUAUUAUCACCAUUGUAUUAUUAUUGUUAUUAUUUUAUUAUUAUUUUGUUAUUAUUAUUUUCCUGUCUUAUUAAACUGUCUUUAUCUCAACUCACGGGCUUCACUUUCCAUUUCUCUCCCCCGUCCCAGAGAGGGAGGGGGGAGGGUGAGCGAACGGCUGCGUGGUGUUUAGCUGCCGGCCGGGUUAAACCACGACAGAAUCUGUCCUGGUUUCAGUUAGAACAGAAUUAAUUUUCUUCCUAGUAGCUGGUGGAAUGCUGUGUUUUGGCUUAGGAUGAGAAGAGUGCUGAUAACACCCCGAUGCUUUAAUUGUUGCAGAGCAGUGCUUAUACUAAGCCAAGGACAUCUCAGCCUUUUGCUCUGUCCUGCCAACGGGCAGGCUGGGGGUGCAGUAAGAGCUGGGAGGGGACAGACCCAGGACAGGUGACCCAAAUUAGCCAAAGGGGUAUUCCAUACCAUCUGACGUCAUGCUAAACAAUAUAUAGGGGUGGCUAGCCGGGGGGAGGGGGCCGGACUGCUCGGGGUUAGGCUGGGCAUCGGUCAGCAAGUGGUGAGCAAUUGCAUUGUGCAUCACUUGUUUGUACAUAUUAUUAUUACUUUCCUAUUAUCACCAUUGUAUUAUUAUUAUUAUUAUUAUUAUUAUUAUUGUUAUUAUUGUUAUUAUUGUUAUUAUUGUUAUUAUUUUUUUUGGUAUUAUUAUUUUCCUGUCUUAUUAAACUGUCUUUAUCUCAACUCACGGGCUUCACUUUCCAUUUCUCUCCCCCGUCCCAGAGAGGGAGGGGGGGAGGGUGAGCGAACAGCUGCGUGGUGUUUAGCUGCCGGCCGGGUUAAACCACGACAUAUGGCUGCUGCUUUUACAUCAUAAUUGCACUUAAUUGCAUUGUUCCUAGCCGUGAUAGUUCUCAUUGAAUGAGACUGGAGUGAGGGUGUGUUAUGUUGUUGGUGAAUCCGUCGCCAUGAUAGUUCAGUAUUCUGAAUCUGACCGGACCCAUAUCGGUUAAUACGUUAUUGAUGAAUCUGUGACCGUGACAGUUCAGUAUCCUGAAUCAGACCAGACCCGUAACAGUUAAUCGGCUACACUCCCUUAACGCAAUACCUUCAAAGAAGGGCAAGCAGCAUAGAAAAAAUAACAUUGUUUGAAAAUAUAACUGAUAUUCAAACAUAGCAGCAUAGAAAAGUAUCAGAAAUGACAAAAAAACAAAGCUCAGACCAGCAGCAAGUUACAGCAGCAUUGGUAGUUGUGUCACUUGUGCUGUUAUAACCAAG